rnacentral:lncRNA from 1 species
CUUUUUGUUGUCUCUAGCUCCAGGUUACUUUCCCUCCUUGAUUUUGUUGAGAUUACAGUACUUUCUCUGAUACUAUCUCUGUCAUAACUGUUAGUGAUUUCAACUUCUUUAUUUGUCUUCCACCACACUGAAGCCGCUCAUUCCUGAGAGUGUCAUUAAAAAUUAUUGCAGUCCUUCUCAGUAUCAGUAAUCACUGACUACCACCCUACUCUGUCUUUCCAGCUCACAGCCUAAAUUUCCCAACCCACCCAGUGUUUUAGUCGGCUUUUUUUUUUUUUGCUGCUUGACCAAAAGACUUCACAAGAAACAAUUAAAGGAGAAAAAGUUUAUUUUGGUGCUUCCUGUUUUAGAGGUCUCAGUUAAUAGAGGGCCAGCUCCAUUGCUCUGGGUCCAAGAUGAGGCAGAAUAUCAUGGCAGAGUAAAGUAGUUCAGGACAAGAUGCCAGGAAGCAGAGACUUUUCUGUUCAUGAGUCAAAAUAUAUACUCCAAAGGCACACCCCCAAGGACCUACCUCCUCAGCCAUACCCUACCUGCCUAUAGUUACCACCCAGUUAAUCCAUUCAACUGGAUUAAUGUACUGAUUAGGUUAAGGCUCUCAAUCAUUUCACCUCUAAACUUUCCUGCGUUGUUUCACACAUGAGUUUUGGGGGAUACCUUAGAUCUAAACCAUAACACUGAAUAGUUUAUUUUAACCUAACCAAGACCUUUAAGACAUUGAUUCUAAUGCCUUUUUAAAAUCCCUAACCAACUUGUUAAAUUUUUUUUCCCCUAGUCUCUUUUUAUGUCCUCAUUUUUGCCUCCUACUAACUAAAAUCUCAUGGCCAAUCCAAACCAUUACUGUACAUAUUCCCUCAGUUCCUUUUCCCCUCAUUCAUAUUGUCAUACUCACUUGGCCGAAUAUUAAUUCUGCUUUAAACCAAGCCUCCACUUUCCUGUGACUGCAGCAAGGCAUGUGACCGCAAAAAAAAUACAGAGGCAUGCCAGACGUUUCACUUCAAAUUUACAAUGACGAACCUCAAGUGGGCCCUUAAUGGGCUUGGUGAUUGUGCCAUGUGUUCCUACUCUAUCAUCUCACCCUCUUAUCUAGAUAUCUAGAUGACUAUUUCAUAGCUUUUCUUCUCUCUUCAGAUGUCUAAAACAUUCUCACUCUCUCUACUGGUGACCCUGUUUCCUAUUUUCUAAGAAAUUGAAACAAAGAGAAGACAACUUUCACAUACUCACAUUACCACAUCUGUAGUAAUCCCUCUGCUCUCUCCUGCACAUCUGUUCCCAAACCUCUUCCCCAUGGUCACUGUGGGAUCUGUGCUCCUAGGAAGGUAACCCUCCAUUAUGUACUUCAGUAGUCCCAUUUCCCUCUACCUUAUCUAUGAUAUAGCAGUUCACUUUUUCCAGCAUUGUCUUUUUUUCCAUGUACUGGAUUAUAAUGUCAGCAUACAGGAUAUUAUGACUUAUCUUAAAAAUAAGAAGACUCUCAAUUCCACAUCUCUCUCUUGCUAUUACUUUGUUUCUUUCCUCACUUUCUUGCAGAAGGCCUUGAUAGAGUUAUCUCCAGUUCCUCUCCUUUCAGUUUUUGUUCCAGCAAACUUUUGCCCCUACCCAAACUGCUAUGGCCAGAGUUCACCAGCAACCUCUUUUUUGCUUAAUCCAGUGGUCAUUUCUUCAUCUCCAUCUUUAUUACUUAGUAAUUGCAUAUAAAAUAGUUGAUUACUCUCCCUUCUUUGAAAUAGAUUCUUCAUCUAGCUUCCAGGAUUCUAUGCCUCCUGAUUUCAUUCUACUUAAGUAGUCUCUCAUCUUGUUUCUGGAACCUGUAAAUAUUAGAGUGCUGUAGGGCUCAGUUCUUGGGUGUCUCAUUUUCUAAACUUACUCCAUUAGCACCUGAUUUAGUUUCAUGGCUUUGCCUAGACUCACCUGCCCCCUUGACAUCACCACUGAGAUGUUUAACAGUUUAAACACAUGCAGAAUUGACCUCUUGAUAUUCUCUUCUCAAAUCUCAGUCUUCCCCACUUCAAAAAUGGCAUAUCCUAUCCUUCCAGUUGCUCAGACCUAGAAAAUUUUGGUCAUACUUGACUCUCCUUUCUCUCACAACCCACAUCUAUCCAUCACCAAUUCCUUUUGGUUCUACUUUAAUGAUAAAUUCAGAUCCUGAUGGAGUUGGUUUCUUACCAACUCCACUGCUACUACUUUGGUUUAGUUUCCAUAAUCUCUUACAUUAAUCUCCUUGUUGAUUUUUCUUGUUGUUCACUUGUGAUUCUGUAAUGAAUGCUCAACACACCAACUGGACGGGUCCUACUAAAAUAAAAGUCUGGUCAGGCUAUUCUCCCAUGGCUUUCAUUUGUGUUCCAAGUAAAUGCCAAUUUUUUCCUUAGCCCACAAGAUCCUACAUGAUUUGUACCUCUUUCAUCUCUUUGCUCAUUUUCUCUUAUGAUCGCUCUUUUUCUCUCUGUUGUACCACAUUAGCUUUUCUGUUGUUCCUUUAACAUUGGCCAUCAGUGAACUAAAACAUGCUUUUUGGAGUAAAAUUGCAUAAGCCUCUCAAAGGUAUGUAUCUCUUUUUUAUUAGAAAUUACAGUUAUUAAAGUUAUAGUAAAUAUUCAGUGAGUAAUCAUGAGAUUUGGAGGGCUAGGCAUAUGGCAGGACACUUUUGAGGUAAAGAUAAGUUAUAGUGCAAUAAAUGUCAGGAUGGAAGUUCUGAGAAUCAUAGUGGCCCUGCUGUAAGCUGACUAUGUAUGAGAGACUAUUUAUAGAAAAGCUUCUGUAGAUUUCUGUUUAAGUAUAAUAGUAAUGGAGUAUAUUGUUCCUGUAUUCUGAACUGAUAAAAUACAGUAAAGAGUAGCAAGCUGUUUUACUGAAGAGACAGAGAGAGUUUGUUGAAAUUGAUAGGAAAACCAGAAAGAUUAUUAACAAGUUGAAAAGAAAAACCUUUUAAGAUAGACUAGAGUGAGCUCAGUGGACCAAAAUAGAGCUGACAGUGACAAACCAGAGCAU